GUUGGCACUGGGUAGGAAUGGUUUCUGGGAUUUCCUUGCUGCACUCCUUUGAAUUUUCUGGAAGCAUGUAGCUGAGCACUGUGAGGAUGCUGGGCUCACAGUGCCAAUAAUCGAUCCUCUACACAUGCCUUUUCCAGCAGCAUUUUGAUAACUGAACCUGCAAUUCUAUGUGCACACCUAGAAGGAAGUAAACUCCAUUAAAGUCAGUGGGACUUGCUUCCAUAUAAUGAGGGAACAGUUAAACAAUCCCUGGAAAAUGGUCUUGGGGGAGGGGAGAAUAAUAGGAAGGUCCUUUUAAAAAAACGUGAGUGGAAAACAAUGUAAAAAUCCUGUGAGGCAAACCCACCAGCACCCCACCCAGUACACAGAUUGUUCUCAGAGAAUCUGACACAAGUCAAAGCAUCCCAUAGGGCAUAAGAUCUGUUAGUAUAUUCAAAACAAAAAUGCCAAUAAUCCAUCCUCUCCUACUUGGUAGAGCACACAGCAAGAAAGAGAGAGUGGCUGAUAUAAUGAGGAACAUUACUCAAAGUUAUCUUACUGAAAUUAAAAGAACAUGCUAAGGAAUGCCUAAUAUCCUUUUAAUUUCAAUGAGACUACUUUGAGUAAGAUAUGAUCCUAUCAGCCAUUAACCAUUAAGUGGAGGCCUGAGGCUUAAAGGGAAGAAAUCUUCUGUGCUCAGAGGCUAUGUCACUUGUGUACAUAAUAACUUUUAAAAAAUCUCUAAACAGAAGGAAAAGAGACAGACACUAAUAAGUAUCAUUAAAACCUGCCAAACUUUAUUAAAGAGGAAGAGGAGCCGAGGCAAGAAGUGCUCAUAUCAGCUCCUUGGCACUCUACUGUAGCCAGAGAACAGGCCCUGGAAAGUUGGAGGGAGGGCUGUGCUCAAGGGCUGGGUGUCCUGAGGGAAGGAUGGAGAAAAAAAUAAGCAGAUAUAAGGGCUCCUAUAGGUUUCCAUCCCUUUAAAAGAGUUGGGGUUUCAAGAAUUGGGGGGCGUUUGUUCUCUAAGGGACUCAUAAAGCAGAAUACGAGUCACUAUAUAUGGUAAAAAGGUGCAAUUUAGGAACGUAGGAAGCUGCCAUGUACUGAGUCAGACCAUUGAUCUAUCUAGCUCAGUAUUGUCUUCACAGACUGGCAGCAGCAAUUUCAGAUUGGCUUAAGGCCUACACUUUUUUUUUUGCUGAUAACACUAUUCUCAAGAAAAUUAAAUUAAGCAUGAGAACUGUGAGCUUUAUGGGAAAUGUCUGGGAAGAGAAUCUGUAGUUUUGGACAUGGUUGUUAAAGCAUUUGUUAUUUUUAAUGGUGUGUGUGUGUGUGUUUAAGAAAAAGAAAAAAUCAAAUACAAAUUUAAAGUGAACAUAAAUUACCUGCUUCUUCUUGUGUCAUUCACUGCUGAAUAAUCAUGAGGUGGGCUCAUGAUUUCAUUUCCACUAAUUUCAUUUAAUUGUAGUUUUUUCAGAUGCGGGGUUGGAAUGUGACUAUAUCAUAGUUGAAGGUUUUACAAAGUUUUUGAUGUUCAGCAUCAGGAAGUUCUACCUUGUGGUUUGGGAAGAAAUGUGCUUGCUGCCACACUGUCUAAAAUGUAGGUUUGGAUUCUGACUCAUGCAAAAGGUAUUCCUGUCUGCUCUUCAUCACUACAACCCACCAAAAAGGUGCUCCAUGAGGUUUUUCACACAUGGCUCUAUGGCUAUGCCUCUGUGGUAUCUGAAGAGUGAAACUGCUUCGCAGCAGAUUCAAGGCAUUUUAAUUCCAGGGAUUAGAUGGACCAUUCACAUAGCCAUCAGAACCUCCUUAGCAUAGCCAUCAGCACCUCCAUCAACACCUCUGAGAAAGCAGAAGCCCCAAAGCUUUUCCCCAAAAGUUGCUGAAAAAAGAGGAUUUGUUUACAACUGGACAUAACCUGGCUAAGCCAGAAUUUGCAGCCUCUCUUUGGAGUGGGGGAAGCCCUGAGGCUGAGGUAGAAAAUUGAGCUAGCGGAGGUGAGCCCAGUGGCUCUUAAGCGGUUCACCUGCUUAAGUAGUCUGGUGCUUAAACUGGGUUUGCGGAGCGAGCGCUUUGCAAACCCAGUUUUUGCAAUGGUUUGUUGCCGUGGUGUGGCUCCACGCUAUGGCAACUCACGAGUAGACCCCCGACCGGGAGGCUCAAAAGCAGCCUCCCGGCUUGGGGGUCUCUCCAGUAUGCCCUGCAUGCUUGCGCAGGGCAUGCUGGAGCUCCUGGGGGCCGUGCAGCCCCCGAUUUCCCCAGCCCCCGCUGGCUCCGUGACGGAGCCCACAGUUGUGUGGGCGGCCGCUAAGGCCGCCCGGAGCAGACUGGCUGCUUAUCUGCGGGGAGAGCGGGCUAAGCCCGCUCUCCCUGCAAACCCUCCCCAGGUGGCUCCCAUUGAUCAUGGGAACCACCUCCCUGUCUGUCCUGGUCCCUGAUUUAACCCAGGGAGGUCGGGUUAAAUCCAGCGAAUAUGUGGACUUGCAUACUCCAAUCAGGAGUGGAUGGGGAGGGGGGAAGCCCUUUCUGUAAAAUCUUCCCUGGGGGCUUAAGGGAUCCUUAGGAAUGUUAAGGGACAAUCAAAGGGGGUACAGGGGAAGGAGCAGAAUACUUUCCAUUAGCUCAGAUCUGCUAAGGAAUUAUGCUUGUGCCUGAUUUUUGUGAUUCCCUCUUUGCCUGCAGCCCUCCAUCUCACCCAUUUCAGGAGAUCCACCCUACUCUCAGAAGGCUUUUUGAGGGGCUGCAGUGGGAAAGAGAACAGGAAAGAUCCCUUGCAUGGGUGGUGUUCUGCUCACACAAGGUUGUUGUUGUUGUUUGCUCCAACCCAAAUAAAGUACACUUUUUACUUCAGAA